rnacentral:rRNA from 1 species
UACAGAGGGGGCAAGCGUUGUUCGGAAUUACUGGGCGUAAAGGGCGCGUAGGCGGCCUUCUAAGUCGAACGUGAAAUCCCCGGGCUCAACCCGGGAACUGCGUCCGAUACUGGAAGGCUUGAAUCCGGGAGAGGGAUGUGGAAUUCCAGGUGUAGCGGUGAAAUGCGUAGAUAUCUGGAGGAACACCGGUGGCGAAGGCGACAUCCUGGACCAACACUGACGCUGAGGAGCGAAAGCCAGGGGAGCAAACGGG